GACGAACGCUGGCGGCGUGCUUAACACAUGCAAGUCGAACGAAAAGAGGGAAAGAGCUUGCUCUUUCCGGAAUUGAGUGGCAAACGGGUGAGUAACAAGUAAACAACCUGCCUUCAGGAUGGGGACAACAGACGGAAACGACUGCUAAUACCGAAUAAGUUCCAAGAGCCGCAUGGCCCAUGGAAGAAAAGGUGGCCUCUACCUGUAAGCUAUCGCCUGAAGAGGGGUUUGCGUCUGAUUAGCUGGUUGGGGGGGUAACGGCCCACCAAGGCGACGAUCAGUAGCCGGUCUGCGAGGAUGGAAGGCCCAACUGGAACUGAGACACGGUCCAGAAUCCUACGGGAGGCAGCAGUGGGGAAUCUUCCGCAAUGGGCGAAAGCCUGACGGAGCAACGCCGCGUGAGUGAUGACGGCCUUCGGGUUGUAAAACUCUGUGAUCCGGGACGAAAAGGCAGAGUGCGAAGAACAAACUGCAUUGACGGUACCGGAAAAGCAAGCCACGGCUAACUACGUG
rnacentral:rRNA from 1 species